GUUACCUUCGGGUAAUGAGGAUGGCGGACGGGUGAGUAACGCGUAAGGAACUUGCCUCUUGGACUGGGACAACUGUUGGAAACGACAGCUAAUACCGGAUAUUAUGAGAUUCUCGCAUGAGAAACUUAUGAAAGCUAUAUGCGCCAAGAGAGAGCCUUGCGUUCCAUUAGCUAGUUGGUGGGGUAAUGGCCCACCAAGGCGACGAUGGAUAGCCGGCCUGAGAGGGUGAACGGCCACAAGGGGACUGAGACACGGCCCUUACUCCUACGGGAGGCAGCAGUGGGGAAUAUUGGACAAUGGGCCACAAGCCUGAUCCAGCAAUUCUGUGUGCACGAUGAAGGUCUUCGGAUUGUAAAGUGCUUUCAGUUGGGAAGAAGAAAGUGACGGUACCAACAGAAGAAGCGACGGCUAAAUACGUGCCAGCAGCCGCGGUAAUACGUAUGUCGCAAGCGUUAUCCGGAUUUAUUGGGCGUAAAGCGCGUCUAGGCGGAAAAAUAAGUCUGAUGUUAAAAUGCGGGGCUCAACUCCGUAUUGCGUUGGAAACUGUUUUUCUAGAGUACUGGAGAGGUGGGCGGAACUACAAGUGUAGAGGUGAAAUUCGUAGAUAUUUGUAGGAAUGCCGAUGGAGAAGUCAGCUCACUGGACAGAUACUGACGCUGA
rnacentral:rRNA from 1 species